rnacentral:rRNA from 1 species
UACGGAGGGGGCUAGCGUUGUCCGAAGUUACUGGGCGUAAAGCGCGCGUAGGCGGGUUGGUAAGUCCGCUGUGAAAGCCCGGAGCUCAACUCCGGAGGGUCGGUGGAUACUGCCAGUCUUGAAGGUGCUAGGGGGAGAUGGAAUUACCGGUGUAGCGGUGAAAUGCGUAGAUAUCGGUAGGAACACCAGUGGCGAAGGCGGUCUCCUGGGGCAUUCUUGACGCUGAGGCGCGAAAGCCAGGGGAGCAAACGGG